rnacentral:rRNA from 2 species
GUGGGGAAUAUUGGACAAUGGGCGGAAGCCUGAUCCAGCCAUGCCGCGUGUGUGAAGAAGGCCUUAUGGUUGUAAAGCACUUUAAGCGAGGAGGAGGCUACUUUAGUUAAUACCUAGAGAUAGUGGACGUUACUCGCAGAAUAAGCACCGGCUAACUCUGUGCCAGCAGCCGCGGUAAUACAGAGGGUGCAAGCGUUAAUCGGAUUUACUGGGCGUAAAGCGCGCGUAGGCGGCUAAUUAAGUCAAAUGUGAAAUCCCCGAGCUUAACUUGGGAAUUGCAUUCGAUACUGGUUAGCUAGAGUGUGGGAGAGGAUGGUAGAAUUCCAGGUGUAGCGGUGAAAUGCGUAGAGAUCUGGAGGAAUACCGAUGGCGAAGGCAGCCAUCUGGCCUAACACUGACGCUGAGGUGCGAAAGCAUGGGGAGCAAACAGG